UACGGAGGGUGCAAGCGUUAUCCGGAUUCACUGGGUUUAAAGGGUGCGUAGGUGGGUUGGUAAGUCAGUGGUGAAAUCCCCGAGCUUAACUUGGGAACUGCCAUUGAUACUAUUAAUCUUGAAUUAUCUGGAGGUAAGCGGAAUAUGUCAUGUAGCGGUGAAAUGCUUAGAUAUGACAUAGAACACCCAUUGCGAAGGCAGCUUACUACGGAUACAUUGACACUGAGGCACGAAAGCGUGGGGAUCAAACAGG
rnacentral:rRNA from 1 species